AGUUGGAGGGAGGGACAGUAACCAGGGAAGUUUAGCGCCAGCAGGGCUGCAGGCCACAGGCCGGGGCUGGGGGAGAGGGAAGGUCGAGAGAGCGGCAAACUGUCGAACUCCUCCCUCUUCAUGCUCCGCAGUUCCCCAGCCACGUGUUUGGUGUAAAUGAGGAGACCUGGAGGGGCCAGCUUGCAGGGUGGGGUCCAGUUGCCCGGAAGGGCAGGGAGCGGGCAGAGGUGGGGUGCAAGGCAUGGCAGGAGGCCCAGUCCACCCUGUUCGUCCUUCCCUCCCACAUCAGGCUGGCACUCUGCACAUUUAGGGUGCGGCCAAGCCUCAGCCAGCAGAAACGAGUCUGGUCUUGCUGACCGGCCUGGCCAGCUGGCGGAGAAAAGGAGAAGACGGUGUCUCUAGGGAGAUCCUGGGCCUGGGUGGCAGCGUCUGUCUAACCUGUUUGGCUUCUGUCUCUUGAGUAGCCCAUCUGCAAUGAGGAAAGGGCGAAGAGGCCCCAGGGCUCAGGCCCACCACCCACGCCCCCAUUCUCACAGCCCUGCUGGGCCAAGGCAUCUCUCGAGUGGGCCGUACUGACUGUUUUUCUUGGUUGCCUGCCUGACUCCAAUCUACUCUCCACAAAACAGUUAGAAUUAGAAAACAGGCGAAAGCCACGUCUGCCUCCAGCCCUGCUGUGCUGCCUAUGGCUAGCCACCUGCCCCAGACCCCACAGUCAUGGCUGGUCACCUGCCUUAGACUCCACAGCCCUGCUGGCCGGUCACCUGCCUCAGAACCCACAGUCAGCUCCUGCCUCCUGCAGAUGUCAUCUAGGACUCAGCAAAACGACCUCUCAUUUUCCUAUCUCACAGUGCCUCCCUGCCAUGCUCUGGCUCUGUAUCCUGUUAAUUUAUUUCUAGUCCUUAUAAAGUAUGAGCCUUUCUCUGUUCAGAAUCCGUUAGAGGCCCUGUGUUUUCAUCCAGCACUUAGCAUACAUGCGUUGCAGAAGGUGCAAAUUAGUCUUGUAGAAGAAAAUAAAAUCUUGGGACCCCCCCCAAACUCAGUGUGCCAAAGGCAAAGUUGCGCCUGUGAAGUGAGUCACACAAUACCACCUUUCUUCUGUUCCCAGAGAGACAGCUGCAGUUUCACGACCCUGUGUCACAGCCUCAUCGAUCAGGCCGGUUCUCACAUGGCCUCUGUCACGAAUUGUUCACAAGGAAGUGUAGCCGUUUGUCUUAGUGCCUCCCCUCCCUCCCUUCCUUCCUGCUGGGUUUUUUUUUCCCCCUUUACUGAGUCUCCACAACCGUCUUUGGAAAGCUGAGAUCACAGAUACUCCUGUAACUCAUGACUUUCCUGGGCACAUCCCCAACCUCUGGUUAAAUAAACCUCUGUUGAUGGAGACUCCCGCCUCAGUCACAUUUGGUUAGCAGACUCUGGCUUAAAAGUUUUGGUGACUUUGACUUGUAUAUGCUGAAACUACAGUGGCCAGUCAGAUUUUGGAAGCUCCUGGCAUUUCUGUCUCUUUGGCCUAAUCUUCUCCAUACUGACGCCCCUCUCUCUGUCUCUCAGACCCCGCUGGCAGACUUGUUGCUACCAAACACAGCACGCUGGUUUCUCUUUCUCUAAGUUCUUUUCAGGAUUCGUUUUGCCACUGAACUUUUUUUUUUUUACUUGAUGACAUGUCUUUUGUCGACAACUGAUGUCUGCUGAAGGCAGAGGUGCUCCCUGGUUCAGGCAUGGAUGUCUAAUAUCUCAUGGACUCUGAUGUUAUCUUCCACAUUGGUUUCUGAUUUUGUUCUGAUUUUGUUCCGUCACUCCCUAAAGUGUGUUUGCUGAGAUGCAAUAACCCAUUCAGCAAAAUAUUCCUUGCAAUAGGAGCAAAAUAUUCCUUGCAAUAGGAAUUGUUGCACUUUCUUAUAAAUGUUUAGGUUGGGUGCAGGCUCUUGCACCCAAAGACCACCAAGGGAAGGUGAAAAAGCCGUAGCCCCUGAGCCACAGGCCCUGAGUUAGUAUUUAGCUCUCUGUUUGCACAGCUUUGACGACAGAGCCUUAGACAGGCCACCUCUCUAUCUUGACUGGCAAAACAGGAGCAGGGGGAGCCCAGCAGUGUCUUCUCUCUUGGAGGGUUUUGCAGGGAUCAAGUGAGAUAAUGUCUGGGGGAGUACUUUUGUAAAAGGCAAAUAGUUACACUAAGACAGGUCCAGUCUUUUAUAAUUUAAAGCAGUGUGUAAAUGGUAUGUCCUCAGACGGUUGCCUUAGUGAACAAUUCUAAGUGUUUUCUUUUGCGCACUUAAUAAAGCUCACAUUUAUGUCAGUCAAGAUAUAAGUUCCUAUUUUUUUCUGCCAGGGUAUGUUACAACUUCACGUUUCCAAGCAAGGCCCAGGCUGGCCCAGAUGGGACACGAGUCCCCCAGUAAAGAUCGGGGCACUUCUGGGGGUCCCACCUGAGGGAUCUGGUGCCUAAAGUCAGCCUUGGUUGUAGGCCCCCAAGACACAAAACCUGUACAGGUCAAGAAGUGACACAUCUCUGGCCUGUGAGGCCCUCAUGUGCCAGGUGGCACUCUUUCUAAAAGACAGACAUAAUGCCAAUGACUUCAGUCAUUUUCCUCAUUUUAUGUGGCUAUUUUAAAAAGCUGUCCUCCAGAAACAAAAGAAUCCCUGAGAUAAAAUUUCCCGCAGCAAAAUGCUCCAUCUGACUGGGGUCCAACCUGGGGAUGGGAGAGCUGGAUGGUCCUGGACACAGAGUUAGGUCUGUGCGGUUAAAGGCAGAAUUAAUGUUCCUUGUACUGAACUGAAAAGAACAGAUUUAAAAAUCUUAUCUUUUGUACUUCCAUCUAAGCUACUUUAGGGAGUUUUCUGGCUAUGAAGCACCCGAACCUUGAGCUGUAAUUCAGAAAUAAAACCUAUCUGCCCCCUCUGUCCACCUUCCUUUCCAUCCUUCUGGAAAAAAGCAAAAGGACAAUUCUUUAUACUAAAGAGAGCAUUAAUGCAAGCGUGAGUCUGAAUGACAAUCAGAUCAAUAGCCAAUUUCAGAAAAAGCCUUCAGUGUUUCUCAAAAGAGAGGCAGAGGGAAGGCGCGGGGGUGCCGUGACUGUGCACCUUGGUGGAAAGGUGCUGGGAUGGUUCGUGCUCUGGGACAGUUGUGCCUCCCCUUGGGGUGGGGACGCAUGGGGGGCUCUGGUGCUGAACCACAAAACACACCAACCCCUCGCAGGCAGACCCCAAGCAGCACAGGUGUGGGAUUUGGUUCCCGCAGCAUUUUAAGACCAUUUGAAUUGCUUAGACACAUUUUAAAAUGAGAAACUUUCAUACAAAAAAAUUUUUUCUGGCUUCUCUGGAAAAGAGAAAAGGCCUUGGGCAUGUGUGUCCCUGUGGUGAGAAGAGGCUGGGACUGAGGAACGGGCCCCAGCGUGCCCAGAGGCCCUGUCCUCUUUUCCUUAGAGAGGCUGAUGGUGACAGCUUGGGCCAGUUUACGUCUCCUGCCUGGUCCCUGUUGUUAUUUGAAUUUGUGACCCUUGUUGCUAAGAUCCUUCCCAAAAGAAGGGCAGAUACAACAAGGUUAUUGCAGAUUUUAAAAGUUGAACUUUGUCGGUGGAGAGCCCAGACAAUACCCCGGAAAGGCACACGCUGGAUGAGCUGCAAGGGGCUCAAAACCUAGACUUCAUAAAAUUGGCUUUUCUUUGGCACUUUUCCACGUUUAAUCAGAUGAUUAAAGUCCUUGAAACA